UGGGGAAUAUUGCACAAUGGGCGAAAGCCUGAUGCAGCGACGCCGCGUGCGGGAUGAAGGCCUUCGGGUUGUAAACCGCUUUUAAUUGGGAGCAAGCGAGAGUGAGUGUACCUUUUGAAUAAGCACCGGCUAACUACGUGCCAGCAGCCGCGGUAAUACGUAGGGUGCAAGCGUUAUCCGGAAUUAUUGGGCGUAAAGAGCUCGUAGGCGGUUUGUCACGCCUGGUGUGAAAGUCCAUCGCUUAACGGUGGAUCUGCGCCGGGUACGGGCAGGCUAGAGUGCAGUAGGGGAGAUUGGAAUUCCCGGUGUAACGGUGGAAUGUGUAGAUAUCGGGAAGAACACCAAUGGCGAAGGCAGAUCUCUGGGCUGUUACUGACGCUGAGGAGCGAAAGCAUGGGGAGCGAACAGGAUUAGAUACCCGUGGUAGUCCAUGCCGUAAAACGGUGGAUGCCU
rnacentral:rRNA from 1 species